CCAGGCGCACCCAGAAACCCUUUGUGAACUUAUACCUUACUGUUGCCUCGGCGCAUGCCGGCCCCCAGGGGCCCCUCGGAGACGAGGAGCAGGCACGCCGGCGGCCAAGUUAACUCUUGUUUUUACACUGAAACUCUGAGAAAAAAACAAAAUGAAUCAAAACUUUCAACAACGGAUCUCUUGGUUCUGGCAUCGAUGAAGAACGCAGCGAAAUGCGAUAAGUAAUGUGAAUUGCAGAAUUCAGUGAAUCAUCGAAUCUUUGAACGCACAUUGCGCCCUCUGGUAUUCCGGAGGGCAUGCCUGUUCGAGCGUCAUUUCAACCCUCAAGCCUUGCUUGGUGAUGGGGCACUGCCUGUAAAAGGGCAGGCCCUGAAAUUCAGUGGCGAGCUCGCCAGGACCCCGAGCGCAGUAGUUAAACCCUCGCUUUGGAAGGCCCUGGCGGUGCCCUGCCGUUAAACCCCCAACUUCUGAAAAUUUGACCUCGGAUCAGGUAGGAAUACCCGCUGAACUUAAGCAUAUCAAUAAGUCGGAGGAA
rnacentral:rRNA from 1 species